AUGCGAGGGGUCACAGCACCUGGAGCUCUGAGAGAGGUGAUAAAUCUCGCUGAGGCUGCAUGGGGAAGAGGUAGUGUGUGCAGGGAAGUUAUGGGGAGCAAUUCUGGUGUGCUGUUUCAGCCUCAGGGAGAAAAGCCUCUGCAGAAGCUUAAGAAGGCCUUCAAGCAGCUGCUAAGUAGAGGAGUACAGCACCUUCAGCAGAGUGAAUCAGAACCUCGUGGGACCAGACCUUUAUCUUCUUGGUGGAUGCAACUAUCAAUUGAUAGGGCUCCGGGGAAUGGUAUGUAUGAAAUUAUUUUGUAAAAUCCAAUAAAAAUUUUAAUCAGGUCA
rnacentral:lncRNA from 1 species